rnacentral:sRNA from 1 species
UUUUAGGAAAAAGAAACGCCAAUGCUUUUUACCAAAUGGUAUAUACAUAAUCACUUAUGUUCUUAGUGAUUAAGAACAUAUUGGAUUUCUCUUAGCAUAUCCAAAUUGUUCAGCAUGAACAAAAUGACUUUUAUUCUCUAUUUACUUUUUUUUUAGCUUAUACAAAAAUUGAACUUAAAUUUAUGUUAGAGAUUUCGUAUCAGUUAAAAAUAAAAUUAAAUUAUAAUACAUAAACAGGAUAAAUCUGAACUUUUUGAUAAAAUUUAUCCCACUUAUAUAAUAUUAUAAUUUAAGGUUAUCUUUAACGGAGAUAGAUCUCCAACAAUCUACAAUCUAGAAUAUUUCUUUCUAAAUUGAGCUUAGCUCAUAAAAAGCGCUUUCCAGCAAUUACAAGAACAAGACAUUCUUUUUCCUUGUUUUAGCCACCACUGAGAAGUGAACAUGAGUUAGUUCCUUCUGCUGUUUUACUGUGUUCAAUGACAUGUUAACUCAUUCUAGGUGGGAGCUGAGAAGGAACCAUUUGAAGGGGUCCAUGCAUAAAUGAGUAAGCCAAAAAUGAGAAUGAUGGCCCCUGUCAUAAAACCUGCUGGAAGAGAGGAGGCAACACCAAGGUAUGGCAAUGGCAUGGUGAACACAUAGAUUGAUAUUGGAACUGCCACAACACAAAGCCACAUUCUAUCAAUUGGGUCCAUACAAUAAUUUUAUCAAACAGCUUGCAUACCUGAAAAUGUGGAAGCAAGACAAGAUACAACAGCAGAAGAGAUUUUGAGGAGAUGAAGCAGUGCAAUGUUGAAACCUAUGUUUACAAUAAUAAACAACAGAGGCAGCAGAGGAGCACCAUCACAUCCUGGAACCAGAAAACCCUUUCUUUCAUCACCAUUAUCACAAAAAUAGCAAGACUAGAAAACAAGGAUUUUUAAGUCUGCUCAUCAAAUAGAUAAUUUGAAAUUGGG